CAUUUCUACUCAGACGAAAAGUCAGUUAUCUACUAUUUCUGCCCAUAAUACUAACAUUGUUAGCACUGCUUUCUUUGCCUGCAUGUUCAAGUCUAUAGUUGACAGCCAUUGCCUCUAACUGUGAUCCUUACCUCUUUGGUUUUCUGGAUCUCAGCUCCAAUCCCCUUUCUUUGCAGUUUGAUUUGUGCUCACUGGUAGAUGUGCUACUACUGUAAAAUGCAAAAGACUGCCAUCCUCUCACCACUUAGACCUCGGCAGCUGAGAAACAGGUGGUUGAGGAGGAAAUACGAAGAACAUUUCUUGGAGAUUUUAAAAGAAAAAAGAAUGUUUUUUUUCAACUCCAUGUAGAACAAAAACUGCUACAAUUUUGCAUAAUUUAAAAUUUCUAUGGCUUAAUUGAGUUAUCUCAAUUAAAAACACAAUGAGAAAAUUUCAAUAGAAAAAUUGCCAGAGAAGAAAUAAUUAAAAUAAUUACUAUGUUUAAGAGGAAAUUUCCUGAACUGAGCAUAUUGUUCACAUUAAAAAUCUCAAAUCAUUAUAAUCUACAGUAAUCAUUUCCUUCACAUUGCAAAUACACAAUAACUACUCUGUUCCUAAAUUGGAUGUGGCCUCUUUUGGUAAAGGAAUGGUAGCUCCCCCAAACAGGACAGCUUGAAUGUACUGAUGCCAAGCAUGCCAUGGUAAUUGUUCAGCUGCCCCCAGUUAUUAUAUUUGAUUACAAACCCUACCAAAGAUGGCAAGAAUUUUCUCCCCUGGAGGUAGGAACUUUCAAAGGAUUCAGGAGCUUGGCCUUAUAUCAAAGAGUAUGAUUGGUUACUAAAUACACAGUUGUUAUAUAUUUUGAUAUUAUCACCUCUAUUAGGAAAUUUACCUAGAAUCACAUAAGCAUUUUGUUUCAUAACUUGCUCUAAUUUUCAUUCAUUUGUGUCCUAGGAAAGAAAAAGGACAUUGUGCAUUUAUGAUAAUAUCACAUCUAGUACUACACUGGGCAUAGCAACAUGAGCCAAGGGAGAGGUUUAAAAAAUCUCAGCCAUAAAAAAGAACAACGUAAUGCCAUUUGCAGCAACAUGGAUGGAACUAGAGACUCUCAUACUGAGUGAAAUAAGUAAGAAAGAGAAAGACAAAUACCGUAUGAUAUCACUUAUAACUGGAAUGUAAUAUAUAGCACGAACAAAUGUUUUCACAGAAAAGAAAAUCAUAGACUUGGAGAAUAGGCUUGUGGCUGCCCAGGAGGAGAGGGAGGGAGUGGGAGGGAUCAGGAGCUUGGGGUUAGCGGAUGCAAACUAUUGCUCUUGGAAUGGAUUUGCAAUGAGAUCCUGCUGUGUAGCAUUGAGGACUAAGUCUAGAUACUUACAUCUCAACACAACAAUGGGAGGAAAAAGUAUGUAUACAUGUAUGUGUGACUUGGCCUCCAUGCUGUACAGUGGGAAAAAAUUAAUAAAUAAUACUGUAAGGAUGAUAUAGGGGGUCUACAAAGGUAGGAAAUGAGGACAGAUAGGCAAGUUUGGUGCUAAGUCUAUGAUGGCCACAAAAAGAGAUGGGACAAGGCACAGAAAGGCAAAAAGAAUGUAAAUCUGCAAAGGUCAUAAACAAAGAACAAGUGAGUCUUUAAGAGCUAUAUCCUUUAAAGAGGUCACAAUACCUGAUUUUAGGGCAAAUAUAUCCUCAGUCCUGUGGUGAUAUAGUCAUGUAAAAACUAACAGGUGCAAGAUAUAAUGAGAGGAUAUGCACUGCAGUGAAGCUUACAAUGAAAAGAAAGCACUAGUUCCUCUAAAGAUCUUUUAUAUAGGUGAAAUUUUCCUUUUCCCUUUUUUGGGGGGUGGGGGAAAAUCCCUACUUAUUAUUUCCCAAUGUUUUGGCAUUGAGCAACAGCAGUACAAGAUAUAUUGACCUUGAAGUCUCUAAGUAGAGCAAAGAAGCCCCAGUGUAUAUUAUUUUCCCUCAUCGUGAGAGAAAAAUAAUCACUGCAUUUGUUGAGCACUGUUUUGGUUAUCAAUUACUAUGUAAUAAAUUACCCCAAACUUAAAAUCAUAGUGGCUUACCUUAAAACUUUGUGGCUUAAGAAAACCAUUAUCUCUCGAAUUGACCUGGCACACCUGAGUGGGGGAUUCUUCUCUUCCAUGUAGAGUUGACUAGGGCUGCAGUUCUCUGGAGGUUUGACUGGCCUGCAGUAUUCAAGAUAGCUCACUCCCAUGGUGCUUGGUACUGCCUAUUAGCUGAGAUGGGACUGUCAAACCAAGUACCUUGGGUUUCCUCCACAUAACCUUAGUAUCUGGCUUGGGCUUCUCAUGGCUCAGUGGCUGGACUGAAAGAAGGAACGUUUCCAGCUGAGAGUGAAAGCUGAAUAUCUCCUAAGGCCCAGCCUUGGAGAUUAUACAGCAACAUAGCUGCUGCAUUCUUUUGGCCUAAGCAAGUCACAGGAGUGGCUCAGAUUCAAGGGGGGAGAAAUAGACUCCAUUGUUCGAUGAGAGGCAUGGCAAAGAAUGUUGUAGCCAUCUUUAUUUCACUGAGACUACCUACUAUGUUCUUAGCAUUCUGGUAAGCGCUUUAUCCACUAUAAAUUAUAUAAACCUCAGAACCACAGACCUUGUUAAAUACCAUUAUCCUCAGUUGGUCAAUUAGGAAAUUUGAUGAUUGGAGAUACUCAUCUGUAGAGUUAAUAAAUAGGUGAAAUAGGAUUUGGAUCCAAGUCUGUCUCCACAGCCCCAGUAAGCUAUAGAGUAUAGAGAUGACAACUGCUUAUACAUUUAUUAAGAAUGUUGUAUGGUUCUAUUAGUAGAUCCCAAACUGUUGAGUCCUCUUCCCCAGUCCUUUUAAGAUUAUUGUUUUGUUUUGUUUUUUAAAGUUAUAAAGGCUACAUUGGCUAAAUUGUCCAAAAAUUUCCAAAAUAACAAUUUUCUAUACUAGUUCACUUUGCUUCUCCUGGUUCUUCCCAGUAAAUGUGUGUGCAGAGUUCUUGCCACUCAGAAAAUUACAAAGAAAGAUUAGGGAAAAUUACAUGCCUCUACAUUUUUCAGUCAUGGCCAGUUCUGGCCUGAUCAAAUAUACUUAAUGAUAGAGCCCUAUAGAAAUGUGCCUAGCUGAAUUGAAAGUAACUAUUAUUAUGAUUAAUUUAAAUCCAAAUGAAUUGUCCUAUAAAAUAUGCAUAGACAUCUAAAAUUUGAAGCCCAUAAAAAUGAUUCCCUUAAAUCAUUUUCUUUGAGUAUUUUGUCCAUUUCUGAUUCUGUUUUUAAGACUAGAAAAACUGUGUGAAGAAAAGGAGCCUUCAGUCAAAAGUAGUUUUGUUCAUAGAAACAGCUGGCUGACUGGGUAUCUUUUCUGCAUCAGUUUACAUUUCCACCAUAUAGAUCAAUUAUGUGACUGUCACUUAUGAAAGAGAGUUACAGAAAAGUUGGAACCGUUUGAAGCUUUGAAACUCAUUUGCAAGGAAAGAUUAAAAGACUAGUGUGAUUUAGUUUCACCUUGAGAAGAAAAGAUUGGGGGGGGGGAGUACUUCCACUGAGAGGAAGAAUAUCUACAUUCUGUUGCAAGUAAGACAUAUUUGAAUGUGUUGAAAUGAUAGUGGGAUGGUUAGACUCCUAUACAGGUAAACUUUACCAGGAGCAAUAGUGUGAAGUGCUGGACUAGACUUUGAAAUAAGGAGGUACUCUUACCACUAGCUCUUUUACAAACAAUGAAGAUUCUCAUAUUAUUUGUGAUGUUGAGGGAACGGAUUCUGCAUGAAGGCAUGGAAUUGGAGGCAUUUGUCUGCAAAAGUUCUGGUGGCUUAUGAUUUUAUGAAAUGUUUUUGAGUAUGUAUCUUUGGGUGACUGCUUGGGAAUAUGAAAGCCAGCAAAAUUAGCUAGAUUCCUCAAGGCCAUUGGCUGAAUCUGUGAUAAUAAAACAGAGGGUACUAGAAGAUGACCUCUUCCUUCUUUCUUUAGGAGAUUCUACCCUUUGUAGAAGGAUAAAAGGAAAAAGGAAAUGAAGAAAGAAUAGAAAGUCAGGAUGAUCUAACUGCAUUCAGUAAUCCAUCCAAGCUCUUUAGAAAUGUAGCAGUAUAAUUUUCCUGUUUUUGGUCAAGAAUAGUUCAGUGCAGAUAUUCAGCAAAUAUCAGGCUUUGGAGUCCUCUCCUGAGUCUUCUGUUUCAUGCAGGGAGAAUGGAGGAGGACAUACAGAAUUGUGGAGCAGAUCUAUAUGAGUCCUGACUUCUGCCACACAUUCAUUAGUCUGAAUUCAGUCAUAUGACUAUAUCUUAUCACAAGAGAGACUAGUACAUGUAAACUGAACUGUGUGCCCAGGAUGUGUGUGUGUGUGUGUACACGUGCAUGUGUGCACACUCAUGCACAAGUGGGAGAAAAAGUGACAAAGCAAAGAACAGAUUUAAACAGACUUUCUUUCAAGGUACUUGUUAAGCAUGAGCUUUGGCACUGCCAGUGUAAUACUAGAAUGGAUUAGUACUUCAAGCACAAGACCAUUUUUUAAUUCUUUAAAAAUAUACUCUAGGAGUUCCCAUCGUGGCGCAGCGGUUAACGAAUAUGACUAGGAACCAUGAGGUUGCGGGUUGGGUCCCUGCCCUUGCUCAGUGGGUUAACGAUCCGGCCUUGCCUUGAGCUGUGGUGAAGCUUGCAGACGCAGCUCAGAUCCAGCGUUGCUGUGGCUCUGGUGUAGGCUGGAAGCUAUAGCUCAGAUUAGACCCCCUAGCCUGGGAACCUCCAUAUGCCGCAGGAGCGGCCCAAGAAAUAGCAAAAAG
rnacentral:lncRNA from 1 species